UUUUUUUUUUUUUGGUUUGCAUGACGAUGAUUCUUAUUCCCUUCUCUGAUUAGAUUUCUAGUCUUUUUAUCAUUUCUUUAGGGUUUUGUUCGAUUUAUUAACAUCUGUUCAUCAAUUCUCGUUGAUCUCUAAUGGUUAACCCUAGGUUGUUGAUCUUUUGCGUCGAUUUGCGAUUGAUUGAUCCAUCAUCCAUCGAGAGAUUUGCAUGGGACAAACAUGUCUUGAUCAGUUCCCGUUGAUCCAAUCAACAACCCUCAUCGAUACUUAUCAACGACCCUCGUUGAUCCAAUCAGUAUCAACAACCCCUCCUCGUUGAUUCUAACCAUCAACCCUCGUUGAUCCAAUCAUCAACCCUCGAUGAUAUAUCUAACCAACGCUCGUUGAUCAACAAGCCGAAGUCUAUGUAUAUCUUUCUAAUGAAAGAAGAAAGGAUCUUGUAGAUGUCUGCGUUAUUUUCAUGGUUUUGUUCGAUUUAUUAACAUCUGUUCAAUUCUCGUUGAUCGCUAGUGGUUAACCCUAGUUGUUGAUUUUUUGCGUCAAUUUGCGGUUGAUUGAUCCAUCGAGAGAUUUGCAUGGGAUAACAUGUCGUGAUCAGUUCCCGUUGAUUCAAUCAUCAACCCUCAUCGAUACUUAUCAUCGACCAACGACCCUCGUUGAUUCUAUUUCUAACCAUCAACCCUCGUUACCUCGUUGAUCUAAUCAACAACCCUUGUUGAUAUAAAUCAUCAUCGCUCAUUGACCCUCGUUGGUAUAUCUAAUCAACGCUCGUUGAUCUACAAGCAGAAGUCUGUGUAUAUCUUUCUGAUGAAAGAAGGAAGGAUCUUGUAGAUGUUUGUAUUCUUUUCAUGAGUGACGCUGAUCCUUAUCGCUUGUUCGGGAUGGAUUGUUGUGUUUUCAGGCCUGUCCAUCGAGGUAUUACGUAUUCAUAUAGAGGCACAUGGACAAAAACACAUAUGAUCAACUCUCGAUGGUCUCUUUAUCAUCUCUCGAUGAUCUUCCAAUCAACUCUCGUUGGUUAUGAUCAUCUCUCGUUGGUCUUAUGAUCAUCUCUCGAUGGUUUGAUGAUCAUCUCUCGAUGGUCUUAUGAUCAACUCUCGUUGGUCUUAUGAUCAACUCUCGUUGGUCUCAUAUCAUCUCUCGAUGAUCUUCCAAUCAACUCUCGUUGGUUAUGAUCAGCUCUCGUUGGUCUUAUGAUCAUCUCUCGAUGGUCUGAUGAUCAACUCUCGUUGGUCUUAUGAUCAUCUCUCGUUGGUCUUAUGAUCAACGUCUCUCGUUGGUCUUAUGAUCAUCUCUCGUUGGUCUUAUGAUCAUCUCUCGUUGGUCUUAUGAUCAACUCUCGUUGGUCUUAUGAUCAACUCUCGAUGAUCUUCCAAUCAACUCUCGUUGGUUAUGAUCAGCUCUCGGUGGUCUUAUGAUCAUCUCUCGAUUGUCUUUUUAUCAUCUCUCGGUGAUCUUCCAAUCAAUGUCUCUCGUUGGUCUUUCAAUCAACUCUCGUUGGUCUUUCAAUCAACUCUCUUUGGUCUUAUGAUCAACUCUCGUUGGUCUUCCAAUCAACGUCUCUCGUUGGUCUGAUCAUAUCAUCUCUUGAUAAUGCUUCAAUCAACUCUCGUUGAUCUGAUCAUAUCAACUCUCGUUGAUGUAAGUAUCAUCUCUCGAUGAUAUUAUCAUAUCAUCAACUCUCGUUGAACCUAAUCAACCCUAAGAAAGAAUUAGACUUAACACAGCUUGCAGAGGUUUAUGUUUGGUCUUUCAAACUGACCAGAAACAGAUGUACAAGAGAGAGUAAGGAGGUUUGACCUUUUCCAUGACAGGUGCGCUUGCUUGGCAGGUCGAAAACCCUUCAUAAACAAGAUAACAGUUUUUGGUUUCGUGGAGGGAUGGGAGAUGGUACGGGAUUGGUUAAGUUUUGUUCUUGUCCCGGCUCUCCUCCUUCCCUCCGGACUGUGUGUCUUGUUACUCUCUGAUACUUGCUGUUUCUUAUGCAUCUUGAUAAACCUGAAGAGUUGUAAAGAGAGACCAUCUAAAGUGAGCAAGCCCUUGUCCGUUAUAUAAUACAUUGGCUUACAAACGAGAAAGUAGCAAAGGGAAUCCAUCGGCUCAAAUGUGAACUCAAAUGUGAAAUCAAUCUGCAAGAACGAGUAGGAAUGUUUUUAAGGUUGGCUACGGAUCCUUUUUUGUUAUAUAUAAACUGUAUUCUUUUGCUUUUCUGAAUUCUCUCUUUAACAAUUGAGAACAAGAAAACUGUGUAGAUUUGUUGUUGGCCUAUAUUUUGGAAAAUAA